rnacentral:rRNA from 1 species
GGGCCCGCACAAGCGGUGGAGCAUGUGGUUUAAUUCGAUGAUACGCGAGGAACCUUACCAGGGCUUAAAUGUAGUAUGACCGGCUUGGAAACAGGCCUUCUCUUCGGAGCAGAUUACAAGGUGCUGCAUGGUUGUCGUCAGCUCGUGCCGUGAGGUGUUAGGUUAAGUCCUGCAACGAGCGCAACCCCUAUUCUUAGUUGCCAGCGGUUCGGCCGGGGACUCUAAGAAGACUGCCAGCGCAAGCUGAGAGGAAGGUGGGGAUGACGUCAAAUCAUCACGGCCCUUACGUCCUGGGCUACACACGUGCUACAAUGGCUAGGACAGACGGCCGCAAACCCGCGAGGGGAGCCAA